GGGCGAUCGAACGAACAGGGGAGCCAAGGAAAAACCCUAGCAUUCAAAUUUCUACAAAAUUAAAAGGGAAGUCAAAGAUUAAUCGAAUGCAUGAGCCAGGAACUUUGAUUAUCUAAGUGUUCUUGACAUCUAGAGCAAAGAAGGAAGAAGGAGCAGGUCACUCCAAAGCGCAAGGAACCCAAGACCACGGUAAAUCUCACGUUUGAUUGCGGCGCGCUCGGACCGAACACACACUGCGUUGCCCUUAUGCGCUUCCGGUUCAAGUCAUCAUUUGAAAUGGGUCAAAAAAGUCAUUUUUGUGUAGUAAAUGUUAAACUAUUAUCUAGGAUGAUCGUAGUAGUUUGAAGUUUAAACUUUAUUUUGGAUAGUUUGGUUAGAAUGUUU